rnacentral:rRNA from 1 species
CGACAGGCCUAACACAUGCAAGUCGUACGAGAAAGUUGGCUUCGGCCGAUGAGUAAAGUGGCGCACGGGUGAGUAAUGCGUGGAUAAUCUGCCCUUUAGUUGGGAAUAACGUACCGAAAGGUGCGCUAAUACCUGAUAAUACUGCAUAACUACUGUUGUGUAGUCAAAGAAGGCCUCUGUUUACAAGCUUUUGCUGAAGGAUGAGUCCGCGUACCAUUAGCUGGUUGGUGGGGUAAUGGCCUACCAAGGCUACGAUGGUUAGCUGGUCUGAGAGGAUGAUCAGCCACACUGGAACUGAGACACGGUCCAGACUCCUACGGGAGGCAGCAGUGAGGAAUAUUGCGCAAUGGGGGCAACCCUGACGCAGCAACGCCGCGUGAGUGAGGAAGGUUUUCGGACCGUAAAGCUCUGUCGAGCGGGAAGAAAUGUAUCAUGGCUAAUAUCCAUGAUACUUGACGGUACCGCUAAAGGAAGCACCGGCUAACUCCGUG